rnacentral:rRNA from 2 species
AGUAACGGCGAGUGAAGCGGCAACAGCUCAAAUUUGAAAUCUGGCCUCUUUUGGGGUCCGAGUUGUAAUUUGUAGAGGAUGUUUUGGGUACCGCACUGGUUUAAAUUUCUUGGAACAGAAUGUCAGAGAGGGUGAGAAUCCCGUCUUGGACCGGCGGUAGGGCCUAUGUAAAACUCCUUCGACGAGUCGAGUUGUUUGGGA